AAAGUCGUAACAAGGUCUCCGUUGGUGAACCAGCGGAGGGAUCAUUACCAGAGUGCCAUAGGCUCUCCAACCCACUGUGAACAUACCUAACGUUCCCUCGGCGGGCUCAGCGCGCGGUGGCCUCCGGGCCCCGGGCGUCCGCCGGGGACAACCAAACCCUGAUUUAAUCGUACUUCUCUGAGGGGCGAGAGCCCGAAAACAAAAAUGAAUCAAAACUUUCAACAACGGAUCUCUUGGCUCUG
rnacentral:misc_RNA from 1 species